ACGCUGGCGGCGUGCUUAACACAUGCAAGUCGAACGAGGUCCACUGCGUAGCAAUACAAGGGAAGACCUGGUGGCGAACGGGUGCGUAACACGUGAGGAACUUGUCCCGGUCUCUGGGAUAACAGUUGGAAACGACUGCUAAUACCGGAUGACGUCGGAAUCUCGCAUGGGAUACUGACGAAAGGGUUACUGGAUCGGGAGAGCCUCGCGGCCUAUCAGCUUGUUGGUGAGGUAACGGCUCACCAAGGCAUCGACGGGUAGCUGGUCUGAGAGGAUGAUCAGCCACACUGGGACUGAGACACGGCCCAGACUCCUACGGGAGGCAGCAGUGGGGAAUCUUGCGCAAUGGGCGAAAGCCUGACGCAGCAACGCCGCGUGCGGGAAGAAGGCCCUCGGGUUGUAAACCGCUUUCAGUAGGAACGAAAAUGACGGUACCUGCAGAAGAAGGUGCGGCCAACUACGUG
rnacentral:rRNA from 1 species